rnacentral:rRNA from 1 species
UAUCCAACCUGCCGACAACACUGGCAUAGCCUUUCGAAAGAAAGAUUAAUACCGGAUGGCAUAAUUAUUCCGCAUGGUAUAAUUAUUAAAGAAUUUCGGUUGUCUAUGGCGAUGCUUUCCAUUAUGCAGUUGGCGGGUUAACGGCCCACCAAACCUACUGAUGGAUAGGGGUUCUGAGAGGAAGGUCCCCCACAUUGGAACUGACACACGGUCCAAACUCCUACGGGAGGUAGCAGUGAGGAAUAUUGGACAGUGCACGAGAGUCUGAACCAGACAAGGAUCGUGAACGAUGACUGCCCUAUGGGUUGUAAACUUCUUUUAUACUGGAAUAAAGUUAGCCACGUGUGGUUUUUUGUAUGUACCGGAUGAAUAUAUGAUCGGCUAACUCCGUGCCAGCAGCCACGGGAAUACGGACGAUCCGAGCGUUAUCCGGAUUUAUUGGGUUAAAGGGAGCGUAGGCGGGGUUGUUAAGUCAGUUGUGAAAGUUUGCGGCUCAACCGUAAAAUUGCAGUUGAUACUGACGACCUUGAGUGCAACAGAGGUAGGCGGAAUUCGUGGUGUAGCGGUGAAAUGCUUAGAUAUCACGAAGAACUCCGAUUGCGAAGGCAGCUUACUGGAUUGUAACUGACGCUGAUGCUCGAAAGUGUGGGUAUCAAACAGGAUUAGAUACCCUGGUAGUCCACACAGUAAACGAUGAAUACUCGCUGUUGGCGAUAUACGGUCAGCGGCCAAGUGAAAGCAUUAAGUAUUCCACAUGGGGAGUACGCCGGCAACGGUGAAACUCAAAGGAAUUGACGGGGCCCGCACAAGCGGAGGAACAUGUGGUUUAAUUAGAUGAUACGCGAGGAACCUUACCCGGGCUUAAAUUGCAACUGACGGAAUCGGAAACGGUUCUUUCUUCGGACAGUUGUGAAGGUGCUGCAUGGUUGUCGUCAGCUCGAGCCGUGAGGUGUCGGAUUAAGUGCCAUAACGAGCGCAACCCUUACGGGUAGUUUCCAUCAGGUUAUGAUGGGGACUCUACCCGGAUUGCCGUGGUAUGAUGUGAGGAAGGCGGGGACGACGUCAAAUCAGCACGUCCCAUUCGUCCGGGGGUUCAUAGGUGUUACAAUGGGGGGUACAGAAGGCAGCUACAUGGGGACGGGGUGCUAAUCCCAAAAGCCUAAUCUCAGUUAGGAAGGGAGUGUGCUACCCGAAUCCAAGAAGGUGGAUUCGUUAGUAAUCGA